rnacentral:rRNA from 1 species
CCUACGGGUGGCAGCAGUGGGGAAUAUUGGACAAUGGGCGAAAGCCUGAUCCAGCCAUGCCGCGUGUGUGAAGAAGGCCUUCGGGUUGUAAAGCACUUUCAGUGGGGAAGAAAGCCUUGGGGCUAAUACCCUCGAGGAAGGACAUCACCCACAGAAGAAGCACCGGCUAACUCCGUGCCAGCAGCCGCGGUAAUACGGAGGGUGCGAGCGUUAAUCGGAAUUACUGGGCGUAAAGCGCGCGUAAGCGGUCUGAUAAGCCGGUUGUGAAAGCCCCGGGCUCAACCUGGGAACGGCAUCCGGAACUGUCAGGCUAGAGUGCAGGAGAGGAAGGUAGAAUUCCCGGUGUAGCGGUGAAAUGCGUAGAGAUCGGGAGGAAUACCAGUGGCGAAGGCGGCCUUCUGGACUGACACUGACGCUGAGGUGCGAAAGCGUGGGUAGCAAACAGGAUUAGAUACCCGAGUAGUC